CCUGGUGGCUCAGACGGUAAAGCGUCUGCCUGCAAUGCAGGAGACCCAGGUUCAAUUCCUGGGUCAGGA
rnacentral:tRNA from 1 species